UCCGAGUAUAAAGAGGAACGAGAGAGCUUCGUUGAAACUGACCUACGAAACGGUGCCAUCUGUAGCACCGGAAAUUUCAUCGACUUAAUGUUGCAGGCCUUAGAGAACGCGGAAACCAGUAAGCAGACGAGAUGCAGACAAGAUACAGACGUUAUCGCGUUCGUGAUACUAUCCAUAAACCAGAUCUCAGAAUCCGUCGUCUGGCAGACGACAAACGAUACUCGAGGACGAAAAGCGAUCUCGGAGGAGCAAGCUGUCUCUCGUCGGCGUACUUCUCGUGUCCUUCGUGAUCAACCGAUCUUCUCUCUACGUGGAAUUCAUGAACGACGUCUAAACAUGCGACAACUUCUUCCGGACACGACAGCAGAUUUCAGCACCGUUAGCUUCUAGAUGUUUCACCAGGCCGUGUAUAUUACGGGAAACUCGUGCAAGCAACAUGCACGUCUCUAAUGUUUCUGGUGUUACUCAAUCGCAAGGCCGUGGACUUUGGUACGUUCGUGGAAAACACAAGGUGCGGGACGUAACGUAACCAGAAAAGUCAACAUUUUCAUUUCGAUCAAUAUUAAGGCUUACGCAGAUGUAUAUUCAUAAAAACCGUGUGUUUGCUAUUCUUUUUCUUCUGCGGAUCGGCGAGAGAAGUAAAUAUAUUUAUAUGUUUAGAAGUAUGCAAAAUACAGUAAAAUAAAUACAAUAAAAAACGAUGUGUUUAAAUAAGAGUGCGAUUGUAAUCUCGCAACUGCGUGCAUCGGUGAAUCUGUGAGAAAAGUUGUAGAGUAUUACGAUAUAGAGUGUUAAACAGUAAAAUUUUCCUCUCUCGUU